CAGUCGCCGCGGUAAUACAGAGGGUGCAAGCGUUAAUCGGAUUUACUGGGCGUAAAGCGUGCGCAGGCGGUUCGUUAAGACAGAUGUGAAAUCCCCGGGCUUAACCUGGGAACUGCAUUUGUGACUGGCGAGCUAGAGUAUGGCAGAGGGGGGUAGAAUUCCACGUGUAGCAGUGAAAUGCGUAGAGAUGUGGAGGAAUACCGAUGGCGAAGGCAGCCCCCUGGGCCAAUACUGACGCUCAUGCACGAAAGCGUGGGGAGCAAACAGGAUUAGAUACCCCUGUAGUCCCUGUCUCUUAUAC
rnacentral:rRNA from 1 species